ACGCUCGACACCUACGGAGGCAGCAGUGGGGAAUAUUGCACAAUGGGGGAAACCCUGAUGCAGCAACGCCGCGUGAAGGAAGAAGGUUUUCGGAUCGUAAACUUCUAUCAAUAGGGAAGAAAGAAAUGACGGUACCUAAAUAAGAAGCCCCGGCUAACUACGUGCCAGCAGCCGCGGUAAUCUGAGCGGGCUGGCAAGGC
rnacentral:rRNA from 1 species